GGAGACGUGCCAGAGCGGCCGAAUGGGGCUCACUGCUAAUGAGUUGUCCUUUUAACGAAGGACCGGAGGUUCAAAUCCUCUCGUCUCCG
rnacentral:tRNA from 3 species